rnacentral:rRNA from 1 species
AUUGAACGCUGGCGGCAUGCCUUACACAUGCAAGUCGAACGGCAGCAUGGAGGAGCUUGCUCCUCUGAUGGCGAGUGGCGAACGGGUGAGUAAAGCAUCGGAACGUACCGUGUAGUGGGGGAUAACGUAGCGAAAGUUACGCUAAUACCGCAUACGCACUGAGGUGGAAAGCAGGGAUCGCAAGACCUUGCGCUAUACGAGCGGCCGAUGUCAGAUUAGCUAGUUGGUAGGGUAAAGGCCUACCAAGGCGACGAUCUGUAGCGGGUCUGAGAGGAUGAUCCGCCACACUGGGACUGAGACACGGCCCAGACUCCUACGGGAGGCAGCAGUGGGGAAUUUUGGACAAUGGGGGAAACCCUGAUCCAGCCAUGCCGCGUGAGUGAAGAAGGCCUUCGGGUUGUAAAGCUCUUUCGGCUGGGAAGAAAUCGCACAGGCUAAUACUCUGUGUGGAUGACGGUACCAGCAUAAGAAGCACCGGCUAACUACGUG